UAGGGAAUUUUCGUCAAUGGGCGCAAGCCUGAACGAGCAAUGCCGCGUGAGUGAGGAAGGCCUUCGGGUCGUAAAGCUCUGUUGCGAGGGAAAAAGGAACGGAAGAGGAAAU
rnacentral:rRNA from 1 species